AGUCGGGAGGGGACGCCGAGGCCCAGCGCGGUGGAUUCGGCCUCUUCCCCCCGGCCCGCCGGCUCCCUUCCCCCUCUCCAACGCGCGCGGAAGGACUUGGCCGACUCCUCGGAGCAGGUGGAGGCUCCCCGCGCCGCGCUUGCCGGGGCCCGUCCUCCGCUGGCCACCGCGCCCCCGCCCCAAACUCUUAGUUCACUCGUGGAUUCGUGUGUCCGUGCGACCCCAGACUGCUUUUGCAAUCAUGGCGACAAUUCCCUCCGACUCCUUUCUCUCCCCCAGCUCGGGGUUUUACUCGCAGGCGGGAGCCCUGGAGGAGACCCGGGAGUAGGAGGGCGAAGGACACUGCCCGGGGCGAGCAGGAAGGGAGCGUGGCGAGGGGUUUGAGGCGCCGGAUUUUACGUCUCCCAGGAGCGGGGUCUUUUCAGCCAAUCCUCUGGCAACCCUGGGUGACGGGCACCAUUAUUGUCUGCAGUGACUGGAGAAAUACUGAUGUUCAGAGAGUGAUCAUUCUGAAGUCAGACGGUCAUAAACGGCAACGCACAUUAGAGCAAGCAGCGCCGGCUGCAGAGACCAGCGAACCCCCAAACCGCAGGGUCGAAAAACCGCAGGAGAUGACUUUCCGCUGACAUCCAGCCCCUGGGACUCCGUCUCGCUGCUCCGGCGGGACGCAACACGUUGCAGGCAGCCUCGGCACAGGCCCGACAAAGCGAUAAAGGAGGAAUGACGAUCCCUAAAGGCCUUAGCCCUUCCUCGCAGAGCCCAGUGGCAAGAAUGAGUCACGGGCCCCAGCCUAACCGCAAAAGAGGUCGGACCCCUGGGGGAAAACGGGGGUAUUGAGUGAGCACUAACGGGACUGCUCCAUCCCAAAGCCUCAGCUCGCAACUUUCUCAAGACAGCUUUUGUUCGGGUUUGUCCGUUUAGGCACGUGAGGAUAGUUAAUAGUUUUUCUCCUUUUUCUGCUUCAAAUAGUUACACCAAAAAGAACACUCAGGUAACACCCAAGUAUACACUGAUGGGCUCUGCUUUCACCUAGCCUCUUCACAGGCUCAACCACAGCAAACACAGACAAACAUUUCUCUCUGCUUAACAGAAUUCUUCUGAUGAAAAGAAAGUCAUAAUUUAUAGGCUUUCUUGUAACAUGGAUUGUUUUUUUUUUCUCCCACUGAACAAUAUAGUUAAGCCACAGUGUUCUAAGCCAAAUCAUAUUGGUCUAUCUCAUUCUUGUUAAGAGCUGCUUGGGUUUAUAGUAUAUGGACAGGUCUUUACAUUUUUGGCCUACCCUCUGUUGAAGAACAUUUACGUUGUUCCCAGUUUUUUGCUGUUAUAAAUAAUAUGGCACUAAAUGUCCUUAUAAAAGUCCUUUGUGCACUUACACAAUUAUCGCCUUGGGAUAAAUUUUGGAGGUGAAGGUGUUGGGUCAAAGGGAUGCAUAUUUUUCAUUUUGAUACCUAUCAUUUAAUCUUUGUAAAUCUCAAACGGCAAAAUGGCAUUUUGCUUAACACUACUUAUUAGCUAUGUCACCUCAGGCAUCUUACCCUCCUUGAACCUCAGAUUCCUUGCCUAGGAGAUGGACAUUAUAAUAAAAGUCCGUUACUCUAAGUCCUCCCAGGACUUUUAUUUGCAUAAAAUAAAAUAAAAUUGCUUAGCACCAUAUCUGACACAUGGUAGCCACUUAACAGGUGUUAACCAAGUGAAAUAUAGGUAUUUUUAAAAUCUCAUUUUAUUUGCUCAUUAGUAAAGUAAAGCAAUUUUUUCUUAUAUUUAUUGUAUUUCUUGGUAUGUGUCUGAAUGACCUCUUUGUAUUUCUCUGUUAGUUGGGUUUUUUAUUCUGUGUAGAACUGUAAGAGUUCUUCAUAUAUUCAGUAUAUUAAUCCUCUUCUGUGAAUUUAGGUAUUGCUUUAGAGAACGGGAAUGUCUAUUCACCAUUUAUUUUUGUGGGAAAUGAUGGUUUCCCCAGCAGUAUCACUAGAAGGAUAUGGAAGACCUACUCCCCUCCCAAAAAAGGGGCUUCGUACCUAGGAUUUUUUUCCUGGAAUAAACAAAAAUCCCAA